rnacentral:rRNA from 1 species
AACUUUCAACAACGGAUCUCUUGGCUCUCGCAUCGAUGAAGAACGCAGCC